rnacentral:rRNA from 2 species
UAACGCGUAGGUAACCUGCCUUGUAGCGGGGGAUAACUAUUGGAAACGAUAGCUAAUACCGCAUAACAAUGGGUGACACAUGUCAUUUAUUUGAAAGGGGCAAUUGCUCCACUACAAGAUGGACCUGCGUUGUAUUAGCUAGUAGGUGAGGUAACGGCUCACCUAGGCGACGAUACAUAGCCGACCUGAGAGGGUGAUCGGCCACACUGGGACUGAGACACGGCCCAG